CUGACACCGACAACAUGAACUCCGUGGGCUCUGCCUCCGUUUUCCCACAGGGGAAAUCUCUGCAUCAGCUGAUCGACUGAAACGCUCUUCUUCAGAACAGGUUUCACUCCUGCGGACGUCCGAGUGGAUCUGAGAUUAAAGUUUGGUGUUUGGUCUGCUGACGGAGCUGCACCUCAACCCCACCUGUGAGGAAGCCUGAGGAUGAAGAGCUCAGAAGCACGAAGCAGCCAAUCUGCACCUUUCUCUGAUUUUUUUAAAUAUAUUUUUUCUGAUUACUGUUUAUUCCAGUACAGUUGGUGUGAAGCGCCCACGAUUUCGUUGUACAUGUACGAUGACAAUAAAGGGCUCUUCUAUUCUA